rnacentral:rRNA from 1 species
UACGGAGGGAGCUAGCGUUGCUCGGAAUCACUGGGCGUAAAGGGCGCGUAGGCGGCGUUUUAAGUCGGGGUGAAAGCCUGUGGCUCAACCACAGAAUGGCCUUCGAUACUGGGACGCUUGAGUAUGGUAGAGGUUGGUGGAACUGCGAGUGUAGAGGUGAAAUUCGUAGAUAUUCGGAAGAACACCAGUGGCGAAGGCGACACACUGGGCCAUUACUGACGCUGAGGCGCGAAAGCGUGGGGAGCAAACAGG